GGAUCCAUGAGGCAGGAACCGAUGCCGGGAAGAUCCGAGAUAUGGAACCGUGUGCAGAGAGAAUCUAGACCGGUUCCCAGGAUGAACAGCAGCACCAGCCC